CGCCGCGUGGAGGAUGAAGGUUUUAGGAUUGUAAACUCCUUUUGUUAGAGAAGAUUAUGACGGUAUCUAACGAAUAAGCACCGGCUAACUCCGUGCCAGCAGCCGCGGUAAUACGGAGGGUGCAAGCGUUACUCGGAAUCACUGGGCGUAAAGAGUGCGUAGGCGGGGUAAUAAGUCAUAUGUGAAAUCCUGUAGCUUAACUACAGAACUGCAUUUGAAACUGUUACUCU
rnacentral:rRNA from 1 species